rnacentral:rRNA from 1 species
AACGAACGCUGGCGGCAUGCCUAACACAUGCAAGUCGAACGAGACCUUCGGGUCUCGUGGCGCACGGGUGCGUAACGCGUGGGAACCUGCCCUUAGGUUCGGAAUAACUUCCCGAAAGGGGUGCUAAUACCGGAUAAUGUCUUCGGACCAAAGAUUUAUCGCCUUUGGAUGGGCCCGCGUUGGAUUAGCUAGUUGGUAGGGUAAAAGCCUACCAAGGCGACGAUCCAUAGCUGGUCUGAGAGGAUGAUCAGCCACACUGGGACUGAGACACGGCCCAGACUCCUACGGGAGGCAGCAGUGGGGAAUAGUGGACAAUGGGCGAAAGCCUGAUCCAGCAAUGCCGCGUGAGUGAUGAAGGCCUUAGGGUUGUAAAGCUCUUUUACCCGGGAUGAUAAUGACAGUACCGGGAGAAUAAGCGCCGGCUAACUCCGUG